UGAACAAAUUUGUAAGAGUCUUUAUAAAGUAGCAAUAUACUCAGAUAUUUUUUGUGAACUGUGUACACUCAAAAUCAAUAGGGUUCUUUUUUCCAUCAAAGUGAAUUAACAAACCAAAUUUACAAAUAGAUUUUUGAAGCCAAAAGAAUUUUUAGGCUACCAUCAUGUUAUUUUGAUUAUUUUUGCAUCUGCUGUUAUAGUGAUCUUUGUGUUUAAAC
rnacentral:lncRNA from 1 species